GAUGAACGCUGGCGGUGUGCCUAAUACAUGCAAGUCGAGCGAACAGACGAGGAGCUUACUCCUCUGACGUUAGCGGCGGACGGGUGAGUAACACGUGGAUAACCUACCUAUAAGACUGGGAUAACUUCGGGAAACCGGAGCUAAUACCGGAUAACAUGUUGAACCGCAUGGUUCAACAGUGAAAGACGGUCUUGCUGUCACUUAUAGAUGGAUCCGCGUCGCAUUAGCUAGUUGGUAAGGUAACGGCUUACCAAGGCAACGAUGCGUAGCCGACCUGAGAGGGUGAUCGACCACACUGGAACUGAGACACGGUCCAGACUCCUACGGGAGGCAGCAGUAGGGAAUCUUCCGCAAUGGGCGAAAGCCUGACGGAGCAACGCCGCGUGAGUGAAGAAGGUCUUCGGAUCGUAAAACUCUGUUAUUAGGGAAGAACAAAUGUGUAAGUAACUAUGCACGUCUUGACGGUACCUAAUCAGAAAGCCACGGCUAACUACGUG
rnacentral:rRNA from 1 species